rnacentral:tRNA from 1 species
AGGCGUGUGGCGAAAAGGUUAACGCACUGGACUUUGACUCCAGCAUUCGAGGGUUCGAAUCCCUCCACGUCUG